rnacentral:rRNA from 1 species
AGUAACGCGUGAGGAACCUGCCUCAAAGAGGGGGACAACAGUUGGAAACGACUGCUAAUACCGCAUAAGCCCACGGCUCGGCAUCGAGCAGAGGGAAAAAGAGCAAUCCGCUUUGAGAUGGCCUCGCGUCUGAUUAGCUGGUUGGCGGGGUAACGGCCCACCAAGGCGACGAUCAGUAGCCGGACUGAGAGGUUGAACGGCCACAUUGGGACUGAGAUACGGCCCAG